GUGGGGAAUUUUGGACAAUGGGGGAAACCCUGAUCCAGCGACGCCGCGUGAAGGAUGAAGGCCUUCGGGUUGUAAACUUCUUUUGGAGGGGACGAAUAAAUUGACGGUACCCUCAGAAAAAGCCACGGCUAACUACGUGCCAGCAGCCGCGGUAAUACGUAGGUGGCGAGCGUUACUCGGAAUUACUAGGCGUAAAGCGUAUGUAGGCGGUUGUAUAAGUCUAUGGUGAAAUUUCCUGGCUCAACUGGGAAGGGACAUAGAUACUGUAUGGCUUGAGUGUUGGAGGGGGAGACGGAAUUCCUGGUGUAGCGGUGAAAUGCGUAGAUAUCAGGAGGAACACCGAUGGCGAAAGCAGUCUCCUGGCCAAAUACUGACGCUGAGGUACGAAAGCUAGGGUAGCAAACAGGAUUAGAAACCCUUGUAGUCC
rnacentral:rRNA from 1 species